rnacentral:misc_RNA from 1 species
UCGCUUGGCUACAAUGUUAAGACAAGGGGGAACCUAGGCAUAACUGCAGUCAAUUCAGGCAGGAUGUCUGUAAGUUUUCUCUCAAGUGGCGCUGCUACAAUUGUUGGUGCAAAGGACAAAGAAGAUGUCGUCAAGAUCUACAAGACAUUUACAGAGCACACUUAGCCACCCAUAAACUCCAUCAUGCUUGACUGGAUCUUCUUUUCUUCUUUGAAGAUCAACUUUAGUUCUAAGGCUAUCGAUUCAACUCUGCUGCGCAGAUAAUCGUUAAUUUUGUAUUGCUUGCAC